rnacentral:rRNA from 1 species
GACGAACGCUGGCGGCGUGCUUAACACAUGCAAGUCGAACGGAAAGGCCCUGCUUUUGUGGGGUGCUCGAGUGGCGAACGGGUGAGUAACACGUGAGUAACCUGCACUUGACUUUGGGAUAACUUCAGGAAAAUGGGGCUAAUACCGGAUAGGAGCUCCUGCUGCAUGGUGGGGGAUGGAAAGUUUCGGCGGUUGGGGAUGGACUCGCGGCUUAUCAGCUUGUUGGUGGGGUAGUGGAUUACAAAGGGUUUGAAGGGUAGCCGGCCUGAGAGGGUGACCGGCCACACUGGUACUGCGAUACGGCCCAGUCUCCAACGGUCGGCAACAGUCGGAAAUAUUGCACAAUGGGCGGAAGCCUGAUGCAGCAACGCCGCGAGCGUAAUACUGGCCUUCUGGUUGUAAACCGCUUUGUCCGUUGACAAGGCGUGCGUGACGGUAAUUGAUAAAGAAGCCCCGGCUAACUACGUG